rnacentral:rRNA from 1 species
UACAGAGGGUGCAAGCGUUGUUCGGAAUUAUUGGGCGUAAAGGGCGCGUAGGCGGCCUUCUAAGUCAGACGUGAAAUCCCCCGGCUUAACCUGGGAACUGCGUCUGAUACUGGGAGGCUAGAGUGCGGGAGAGGGAUGCGGAAUUCCAGGUGUAGCGGUGAAAUGCGUAGAUAUCUGGAGGAACACCGGUGGCGAAGGCGGCAUCCUGGACCGACACUGACGCUGAGGCGCGAAAGCUAGGGUAGCAAACGGG